UCAGCGGCGGACGGGUGAGUAACGCGUGGGAACGUGCCUUCUGGUUCGGAAUAACCCUGGGAAACUAGGGCUAAUACCGGAUACGCCCUUUUGGGGAAAGGUUUACUGCCGGAAGAUCGGCCCGCGUCUGAUUAGCUAGUUGGUGGGGUAACGGCCUACCAAGGCGACGAUCAGUAGCUGGUCUGAGAGGAUGAUCAGCCACACUGGGACUGAGACACGGCCCAGACUCCUACGGGAGGCAGCAGUGGGGAAUAUUGGACAAUGGGCGCAAGCCUGAUCCAGCCAUGCCGCGUGAGUGAUGAAGGCCUUAGGGUUGUAAAGCUCUUUUAUCCGGGACGAUAAUGACGGUACCGGAGGAAUAAGCCCCGGCUAACUUCGUGCCAGCAGCCGCGGUAAUACGAAGGGGGCUAGCGUUGCUCGGAAUCACUGGGCGUAAAGGGCGCGUAGGCGGCGUUUUAAGUCGGGGGUGAAAGCCUGUGGCUCAACCACAGA
rnacentral:rRNA from 1 species